GUUUGAUCAUGGCUCAGAACGAACGCUGGCGGCAGGCCUCAAACAUGCAAGUCUAGGGGGCGUAGCAAUACGUCACCGGCGGACGGGUGCGUAACACGUGGGAAUGUACUUAUUGGUUCGGAACAACUCAGGGAAACUUGAGCUAAUACCGAAUGUGCCCGAAAGGGGAAAGAUUUAUCGCUGAAGGAUCGGCCCGCGUCUGAUUAGCUAGUUGGUGGGGUAACGGCCCACCAAGGCGACGAUCAGUAGCUGGUCUGAGAGGAUGAUCAGCCUCACUGGGACUGAGACACGGCCCAGACUCCUACGGGAGGCAGCAGUGGGGAAUAUUGGACAAUGGGCGCAAGCCUGAUCCAGCCAUGCCGCGUGAGUGAUGAAGGCCUUAGGGUUGUAAAGCUCUUUUACCAGGGAAGAUAAUGACGGUACCUGGAGAAUAAGCCCCGGCUAACUUCGUGCCAGCAGCCGCGGUAA
rnacentral:rRNA from 1 species